GAAUAUUUGGCAUUUUAAGUUGCUGAAAGCUUUAGUGCAUCAACUUCAUAUGAUUUUCCUCAGGCAGGGGUCCUUCUAAAUGGGUCAAAGUCAAUGAAAAGAGAACUCUGUAUGAUGUUUUGAAAGAACUGGACUUCGUUAUCCCUGGAAUCCCAGUAUUUUAUAUUGUUUCAAAGAGCUCCAGCUUUUACAAAGAUUUCAGAGCUGGAAAGUGGACUCCCCCAAGACUCCAUGGCGAGUAAAUUUGCUUGAUUGAGACAGGGACUUUGACUCCAAAGGUUAUUCUUAAAUGAGUUUUACGAGUUGUAUGUGUACGCACAAGUAUAUCUAUUGCAUAUCAAACAAUAGAUAACAGAGAUAACAGAUAGGGCAGCGACAGAGGCCUGUUAGUUCUUGUACUGAGUUAAAUCAUAUCAAAUUCUAUUUAAACCCUGUAAGAGGAGGAUACACAGAAAGAGAUGCUGAGAGGGGGUGGAUCAAAUUCUGUUUAUAGAUGUGAGCUUUGUUGCCGUGUUGUUUGAACUGUAAACUGCCAGAAGUUUGAAUCAUCUUUCUUGUUUCAAAAUUCAGUUGGUAUUUUGAAUCUCGAGUUCAUUACAAGUGGCAUAUCAGCAGUUCUUUCUGGAAUAUUUUCAGACCUGUUUUCCUAUAAACAAAUGGAAAAAUGAAUGGAUGGUUGCAUCUUCCUUGGUUAUGUA